rnacentral:rRNA from 1 species
CUCCAGACUCCUACGGGAGGCAGCAGUGGGGAAUAUUGCACAAUGGGCGAAACCCUGAUGCAGCAACGCCGCGUGGGUGAAGGAGCGUUUCGGCGCGUAAAGCCCUGUCAGCGGGGAAGAAGAAAGACGGUACCCGACCAAGAAGCCCCGGCUAACUACGUGCCAGCAGCCGCGGUAAUACGUAGGGGGCAAGCGUUAUCCGGAUUUACUGGGUGUAAAGGGAGCGUAGACGGCAGCGCAAGUCUGAAGUGAAAUGCCGGGGCUUAACCCCGGAACUGCUUUGGAAACUGUGCAGCUAGAGUGCAGGAGAGGUAAGUGGAAUUCCUAGUGUAGCGGUGAAAUGCGUAGGUAUUAGGAGGAACACCGGUGGCGAAGGCGGCUUACUGGACCAUAACUGACGUUGAGGCUCGAAAGCGUGGGGAGCGAACAGGAUUAGAUACCCGCGUAC